rnacentral:rRNA from 1 species
UACAGAGGUCCCAAGCGUUGUUCGGAUUCAUUGGGCGUAAAGGGUGCGUAGGUGGGGCUGUAAGUCGGGGGUGAAAUUUCGGAGCUUAACUCCGAAACUGCAUUCGAUACUGCGGUGCUCGAGGACUGGAGAGGAGACUGGAAUUCAUGGUGUAGCAGUGAAAUGCGUAGAGAUCAUGAGGAAGACCAGUGGCGAAGGCGGGUCUCUGGACAGUUCCUGACGCUGAGGCACGAAGGCCAGGGGAGCAAACGGG